UACAAAUUAUAUAAAUAAAUUUUAUUAGUAAAUAAUUAAAUUAAUUAAAAUUAAAAUAUAAUUUUAUUUUAAAAGUAAAAUUUUUAAAAUAAAUAUUAGUUUAUAAAAAUUUUAUUGAAGUUAUAAAAAUUUUAUUAUAAACUA
rnacentral:rRNA from 1 species